rnacentral:lncRNA from 13 species
UGUCUGAGUGUGUGUGUAUGUCUGAGUGUGUGUGUGUGUCUUUGUGUGUGCGCUCGCUCGCUGCAGUUCCAAAGCUUCAGGAUCCGGUUUGUUCCGCUCCAUCUUGUGUGUCACUGUUUUCUGUUUCCGGUUUGUUCCAGUCCAUCUUGUGUGUGUGUCAGUGUUUUCUGUUGCCGGUUUGUUCCAGUCCACCUUGUGUGUGUGUCAGUGUUUUCUGUUGCCGGUUUGUUCCAGUCCAUCUUGUGUGUCACUGUUUUCUGUUUCCGGUUUGUUCCAGUCCACCUUGUGUGUGUGUCAGUGUUUUCUGUUGCCGGUUUGUU